rnacentral:rRNA from 1 species
GACGAACGCUGGCGGCGUGCCUAAUACAUGCAAGUCGAACGAAGCUGUUUUAACUGGUGCUUGCACCGACUUAAACAACUGAGUGGCGAACGGGUGAGUAACACGUGGGUAACCUGCCCCAAAGCGGGGGAUAACAUUUGGAAACAGAUGCUAAUACCGCAUAACCACAGAAACCACAUGGUUUCUGUGUCAGAGAUGGUUUCGGCUAUCACUUUGGGAUGGACCCGCGGCGUAUUAGCUAGUUGGUAAGGUAAUGGCUUACCAAGGCAAUGAUACGUAGCCGAACUGAGAGGUUGAUCGGCCACAUUGGGACUGAGACACGGCCCAAACUCCUACGGGAGGCAGCAGUAGGGAAUCUUCCACAAUGGACGAAAGUCUGAUGGAGCAAUGCCGCGUGAGUGAAGAAGGUUUUCGGAUCGUAAAACUCUGUUGUCAGAGAAGAACGUGUGCGAGAGUAACUGUUCGUGCAGUGACGGUAUCUGGCCAGAAAGCCACGGCUGACUACGUGCCAGCAGCCGCAGUAA